rnacentral:rRNA from 1 species
GACGAACGCUGGCGGCGUGCCUAAUACAUGCAAGUAGGACGCAGUUGCGAACGGGUGAGUAACGCGUAGGUAACUGCCUAUUAGAGGGGGAUAACUAUUGGAAACGAUAGCUAAUACCGCAUACUAGAAGAUGGACCUGCGUUGUAUUAGCUAGUAGGUAGGGUAAAGGCCUACCUAGGCGACGAUACAAAGCCGACCUGAGAGGGUGAUCGGCCACACUGGGACUGAGACACGGCCCAGACUCCUACGGGAGGCAGCAGUAGGGAAUCUUCGGCAAUGGGCGGAAGCCUGACCGAGCAACGCCGCGUGAGUGAAGAAGGUUUUCGGAUCGUAAAGCUCUGUUGUUAGGGAAGCGGUACUUAACCAGAAAGGGACGGCUAACUACGUGCCAGCAGCCGCGGUAAUUC